rnacentral:ncRNA from 1 species
UACCUGGUUGAUCCUGCCAGUAGUCAUAUGCUUGUCUCAAAGAUUAAGCCAUGCAAGUCUAAGUACGAGCUCUCGUACAGUGAAACUGCGAAUGGCUCAUUAAAUCAGUUAUGGUUCAUUUGAUCGUACAGUUUACUUGGAUAACUGUGGUAAUUCUAGAGCUAAUACAUGCGAGAAGCGCCGACCUCGCGGGAGGCGUGCAUUUAUCAGACCAAAAACCGGCCGCGUCUUCGGGAGCG